rnacentral:rRNA from 1 species
AACGAACGCUGGCGGCGGGGUUUAGGCAUGCAAGUCGAGCGAGAAAGGGGGAAACCCGAGUAAAGCGGCGUAAGGGUGAGUAAUAGGUAGUUCACGUAUCCUCCAGAUGCGGAUAAUUCCCCGAAAGGGGUUGUAAUACGCGAUGAGACCACGCGGGAUCCGUCCUGUGAGGUCAAAGGUUCGGGAUCCUUCGGGACCGAGCGCUGGUGGAGCGGACGACCUCCGAUUAGCUAGAUGGCGGGGUAACGGCCCACCANGGCGAUGAUCGGUAGCCGGCCUGAGAGGGUGUUCGGCCACACUGGGACUGAGACACUGCCCAGACUCCUACGGGAGGCUGCAGUCGCGAAUCAUUCACAAUGGGCGCAAGCCUGAUGAUGCCACGCCGCGUGCGGGAUGAA